CCUACGGGAGGCAGCAGUGGGGAAUAUUGCGCAAUGGGCGAAAGCCUGACGCAGCGACGCCGCGUGAGGGAUGAAGGUCUUCGGAUCGUAAACCUCUGUAAGCAGGGAAGAACGGUCACUGUGCUAAGCAGCCGUGCAUGGACGGUACCUGCAAAGGCAGCACCGGCUAACUCGGUGCAAGCAGCCGCGGUAAUACGGAGGGUGCGAGCGUUAAUCGGAAUUACUGGGCGUCAAGCGCCCGUAGGCGGGAUGUCAAGUCAAGGGUGAAAUCCCCGCGAUCAAGGUGGGAACUGCCUUUGAAACUGGCAAACUGGAGUGUGUGAGAGGAUAGUGGAAUUCCAGGUGUA
rnacentral:rRNA from 1 species